rnacentral:rRNA from 1 species
UACGUAGGAUGCAAGCGUUGUUCGGAAUUACUGGGCGUAAAGAGUACGUAGGCGGUUUGGUAAGUCUGAUAUUAAAGACCGGAGCUCAACUUCGGGACUGUAUCGGAAACUGUCAGACUAGAGGACAAUAGAGGAAGUCGGAAUUCUCAGUGUAGCGGUGAAAUGCGUAGAUAUUGGGAAGAACACCAGUGGCGAAAGCGGACUUCUGGGUUGUUACUGACGCUGAGGUACGAAAGCGUGGGGAGCAAAACGGG